rnacentral:rRNA from 1 species
GACGAACGCUGGCGGCGUGCCUAAUACAUGCAAGUCGAGCGAAGUUUUUCUGGUGCUUGCACUAGAAAAACUUAGCGGCGAACGGGUGAGUAACACGUAAAGAACCUGCCUCAUAGACUGGGACAACUAUUGGAAACGAUAGCUAAUACCGGAUAACAGUAUUUCUCGCAUGAGAGAUAUUUAAAAGUUGGUUAUGCUAACACUAUGAGAUGGCUUUGCGGUGCAUUAGCUAGUUGGUGGGGUAAAGGCCCACCAAGGCGACGAUGCAUAGCCGACCUGAGAGGGUGAUCGGCCACACUGGGACUGAGACACGGCCCAGACUCCUACGGGAGGCAGCAGUAGGGAAUCUUCCGCAAUGGGCGAAAGCCUGACGGAGCAACGCCGCGUGAGUGAAGAAGGAUUUCGGUUCGUGAAGCUCUGUUGUUAGGGAAGAAUGGAUAUGUAGUAACUAUACAUGUAAGAGACGGUACCUAACCAGAAAGCCACGGCUAACUACGUG